CCAAAAGGCCUCGUGCUAGGUAGAGAUGAGAAUAUACAUAUAAGGCUUACAUGAUCCACUUCCCUAGGCGAUGUGGGAUGUUAUAGAUACAACUAAUAAGUAACAAAAUAAAGUUAUUGACUAACAUUUGCACCAUGCGGUUUUCAAAUAUGACACAAAAAUAUGACCUCCUUAAUAUUAUAGGACCGAAAAAAUAUAUCCGAAGUGAUUUACACAUUAUGAUUAAUAAGUGAUUAACACAUUCAAUAUGUUAUUUGUUUUUCUUGAAUUAACAUACCAAUAAACGUUAGUGGAUUAUUUUUCGUUCAACAUUUUGUGGAUUAAGUUAAUUAGUAAUAUAUAUUAAUCAUGUUCAGGCACUCAUCUGAUUAAGAUUUGGAAUUUUUUUUCGGACUCAAAUUUUCUCCCUCUAUACUCAAUUUAUAAUUAUUUAUUUUUUUGACAUCCCAAAUUUAUCUGGAAAAUGGUUUUAGAAAAUAAAAGAAGAAAAUGAAAAAGCGACUUGGUAUUGCAUCUCCAAUUAGGUUGCAUGGUGUGUCUCUCUCGGUGCCAUCCUUAAAAGAAUGGUUGUUACAACUAGCAGAGGAACGGGUGGAGGACUUUGGCAUGGUAAUGAUGGUUAUGUGGGGAUUGUUGAAGACAAGGGAAGGAAUGCUUGGAUUUGGGAUGUCUCCUUUAUAAUCCACAAGCUGCUGUCUUGAAUUGGUACUGGGAGUACCGAAGGAAGAAUACUACGGUGACAUCGCAUAAGAUGCUGCCUCUCUCUAGGUGAACUUGAAUUCUCUUCCCUCAUAUUUCUCUUCCCUUCAUCCCCCCUUUAAUCUAGACCGGUCAAAAGAAAUCCGAUAGCUUAAAAUUAUGUCGCAUAUUUAAUGACCCUUAUUUUUUUUAUUGUUUUUGUUCAACAAUCUUUUCUUUUAUGCACCACUCUUCACACCACCACUUACCCUCUUCCUCUUUCACAUGCCAACCGCCAUUAAGAGAAAUCAUCCAAUCAAGCGAAUUUAUUUAAUCUCAACCAUUAAUAUUAGUCCGACAAUUUGUGAAUUAAACCAAUUAGAUGUUCAAAAUCAAAGAGUUUAGAUCAUUCAAUAGAAAUGACUAACGCCCAACAUAGCAUAAUCAGAAUUUUUGUUGGAGCACUAGGCUAAUAGAAGAGUGGCUUGAAAGCCUUUCGGCGAUCUGGGGGUAUUUCUGUGAAGGGGUGGAGAUAGGAUUGAUCGGAGGUAUUUUCUACUAAUGACCUGUUUUUUCUUCAUUCUUUCUAACCAUUUUGAAUGUGCAACAAAAUUGUGAUUUCAUAAUAAAAAAAUUAUAAGUUGAUUGUAGAAGGGGAAAAGUUGGGUUUGAAUAAAAUUUCCUUAAGGUUGUCAUAACACAUAACAUAUCAUGUUCUAAAAGUUAAUAUGCGUGUCAUUUACUUACAUGUAAGAUCCUAUUAAAACAUGUCAUAUGCUUACAUAUAUUUUGUCGUCCUAUUAACCAUAAUAACAUGAUAAUAUAUAUUUUGUAAGUGAAUGAUAAGUUCAAUACUAAUUUAUUAUGCCGAUCCAUUGUGUUAUUUGGAUUAAUCACAUAACAGUUUUUUUUUUUGGGUGAUGCUACUUACACAUUUUUUUUUUUUACCUUUCACAGACUCCUUGUUUAUUUAUAUUUAUUGAUUACCUUCAAUUCAUACGAUUCGACGAUCGAAAGUUCUUAAAAUGAAAUCAAAUAUAAACAUACAUAAAAAAGAUUAUCAACCUAAUUCAUACAAAAAACAUUUGUAUCAAAAGUGAAAUUCCUACACAAAAUUUUUAGUUUACAAUAACGAAUGUGGUAUGUAUUAUGAAAUUUUUGUUGUUGAAGCAAAUGCCUUACGUAAAGAUCGGGACGGAAAACGAGUCCACAUCAAUUCUUGAUGUAAAUGUUGAGGAAAUCAAUUUCUUUUGGCAGUGAUUUCAUGUGGAAGAAAUUGAAAAAGAUAGGAGAAAUACGUCUUAUGAUAAUUCUAUGUCAACUAGAAAUUUAUAAGUUAUAACCAAGGAAGAAAAUAUCGAUAAUAUCGCGAUAUUACCGAUAAUAUGCUUCGCCUGAGGGUUUCGUUUCCAACGAGGAGGUACCGAAUCAGAGUCUCCGGGUAAAAGGGGACGACGUUGGUGUGGACCCAAUGGUCGGCGAGCGUCUGAUUGGAGGCGGUGAGGAUUUUGGGGUUGGCGUCGUAGAGGUUGACUCGCUUGGCCUUGAGAGACUGGAUGAGCUUCACCGACUGCGAUGGUGGCGGGAGGUUGUUGCCCAGCUGGCCGUAGUUCACACCCACCUUGGAGGCGAGCUCCGCACUUGAAAAAAUCAAAAGGGGUGAGAGAAAAAUACCAAAUGAACAAAACCCAUGUCGCCAUUUUUGAGAUUUUGGGGAAGAAACUUACUGGAAAUGGAAACUGAGAGGCAGAGGAUGAGCAGGGGGAGAAAACCCAUCUCCAUUUUUUGUGGAUUUUGAGCUGCCAGAGUAACUAAAAGAUGAGCUUUUCCUAAUUGCGUGAGUUUUGGAGCAGAAAGAGGUGAUCUAGAGCUCAAAGAUUGGAUCUUUGAGGAAAAAAUAAGAGAUAAAAUGAAGGAACUAGGGCGCACUGAACUGCUGCUACUGGACCCUUGUAUAAAAGGAAGGAGUGAGAUGUUGCAGGUGUUUGAGGAGUGAAAGAAGAUUGGGAAUAGAAAAGAUAAAGAAAAAAAGAAAGGGACGAGAGAGAGAGAGAGUGAGUAGAUAACUUUAUAGAAAAUAUAAAGAAAAGAAGAAAGGGACGAGAGAGAGAGAGAGAGAGAAAGAGAGAGAGAGAGAGAGAGCAGAUGGAAUGGAAGGAUGGAAGGAAAGAAUAAAAGGUUAGACUCUUUUUGGGGUUUAUUAUUAAGUUAACGAGGCUUACUAAUUUGCUUGGUUUCCAUCAAAUCCAAAAAUACUUGAAAAAUUGUGUGUUUAGAUUUCUUUCAUUAAUUACUACAUAUUUUCUACACUCACAAUGUUUGUCAGCUCGCUAUAUAAUCAACUUGAUAAUGUUAAAUCCAUCAUGCAAUGCAUUUCCUUCCAAUUUUUUGUGAUAAACUAAUAGAUAAUUGAUUAAAUAAACAUCCUGCAAAGUUUCAAUAAAAAUUUCCAAGUUUUUCUUACAAUUUCCGUGGUUUUCAUGUAAUUUUUAUCGAUAUCGAUAUUUCCAUCGAUAUUUCCGUGUUUUCGGAUUACCGAUAUUUCCGAUAUUACCGAUAUUUUCUUCCUUGGUUAUAACCAACAAAAUAAAUAAACUAGAAAAUUAUUAACCAAAAGAAUUAAAAAAAAAUUUAAAAAAUUUAAAAAAAUUAAAAUGGACGGCAGAUAUUGCCCCAACUAUGCAGGAAGCUGCGAAGGGUCACAUGUCACAUGUCACAUGUUUUGGUUAAUUGAAAGAGUGAUGAGAUUGACAUCAACCUCCAUUCAUCAUACAUUAUGCAGUCAGUUUUAUCAAAUAUUUUUUAUGUUUAAUUUUAAAUAAAAAAAUUUAAAAUGAUUUCUAACCGCACGAUAUACAAUGAACAGACAUGAUUCAUAGAUUCUCAGAAUCCUCACAAAAAAGACCCGGCUAGGAUCCGAAUUCUUAAUUCAUGGCCUAUAAAUUAUAAUAUGUAAGUUUGCCUAUUUUUCCGUGUAAAUAAAGGGAAAAGACAAGAAAAUUACAUAGUAUAGCACUUGAACUCCGAAGAACUUUUCUUAAAAAUGAAGAGGAUUUUAAUAAGAAGAAAAAUGGAAUAGAAGAAAUUAAUAUUCUUACAUCUAUGAUAUCUUGAUGGGUGGAAAAUCCAUGCUCCAACAUGGUUGCUGCAACAUAUAUCGCCAUAUGUAUUUUGCUAGCAAACCUGUGUAUGGCAUCAGUCAGGCUCAUACCUCCUGCACUAUGUCCCACAAGUAUUACCUACCAAAACAGUGUUAAUCCACACAAACUUAAUCCAUAUAACAUAAUAUACAAUCUCUUGUAACAUUAGUCUCAUUAAACCUGCCCUACACUUCUUUGUAUGCAUAAUAUACAAUCCAUAUCAGUCUCAAUUGUUGAUGAGUGUGUGAGUGUUAAAAGGUGGAACACACACUGACCGAUGAUAUUGAGACCGAUAUUGAUCGAGUGCACGACUAUCCCUAACAAAACGUAUGCAUAGAAAUACCCACCCUUUCAUUUCCUGGCAAACUGGACAAGAAGUCAGUGAGAGGCUGGUUAUAGUCUUGGAAAGUGAGGACGGUAUUAGGAUCAGAUUGAUCAACACCAGCACCUUUGAGGUCAAGACAUGUGACUUUGUAGCCUGAAGCUUCCAUUAGACACCGGAUCUUGUACCAGCACCAAGCUCCAUGCCCUAUACCAUGGAUCAGAACCAAAUGAUGAUGAUGAGGAUGAUGAUAGUUUGGUAAUAUUCCACUCAUUGUACUCUCCUUCUCUACCAUUGGUCUUCCUCCUGACAUACUAGCUAGCUUCAAAUUUUGUUUUAGUUUCCCUAUCUUUCAAGUUCCAAUGCUUUGUGUAUGUAUAAAUAUCUAAUCUUUUAUUUUGUUAUAUAUUAUAUAUAAGGCGUGCAUAUACAUGUGUGUGUGCGCGCGCGCGCGUCUAGUUGUAUGUGAUUAAGUUACGCAGGAACUAGAAGACCAAGUGGGUUGCGUUACCCAGGUAGCUAUGGAACAAAAAUUCCUAUAUUUGAGAGUUGAGACAGCCUUAUGGAUAAUGUUUCUUAACACAAUUGUUGUCCAUUAUUUCGUCAGUUAUCAUAUGUCUCCUUAUUAUCUGGUAUGCAUACGUAGCUAAUAGUUACAAGUAUUUCCAAUAAAAAAUAUCUCAUGCGCUAACCUUAUCCUUUGUCCCCUUUGCUAUAUUUAAGCAAUGAAGAUAGAGUGAGAAAUAGUAAUGCUAAGGAUAUAACAUGUCGUACUAUUAUUUGAAUUUGAACACUCUCAUUUUAGUUUCUCAUAUAUUCUUUUUUAUUUUUAACUGUCAUAUUAAAUAUAUUACAUGAAAAACAAUAAAUAAGAUUAAAUAAGAAUGUGUAGGAAAUAAAAAGAGGUGUAUCUAUUAUUUUUCUAUUUGAAUAUCGCAUAUGAUAUUAUUUUUCUAUUUGAAUAUCACAUAUGAUAUAAUGGAUACAACUAAUAUGUAACAAAAUAGAGUUAUUGACUAACAUUUGCACCAUGCGGUUUUCAAAUAUGACACAAAAAUGUGAGCUCCUUAACAUUAGAGGACCGAAAAAAUAUAUCUGAGGUGAUUUACGUACAUUAUGAUUUGUAAUAUAUCUUAAUCAUGUUCAGGCACUCAUCUGAUUAAGAUUUGGAAAUUUUAUUCAGACUCAAAUUUUCUCCCUCUAUACACAAUUUAUAAUUAUUUAUUUUUUUGACAUCCAAAAUUUAUCUCAUAUGGAAAAUGGUUAGAAAAUAAAAGAAGAAAAUGAAAAAGCGACUUGGUAUUGCAUCUCCAAUUAGGUUGCAUGGUGUGUCUCUCUCGGUACCAUCCUUAAAAGAAAGGUUGUUACAACUAGCAGAGGAACGGGUGGAGGACUUUGGCAUGGUAAUGAUGGUUAUGUGGGGAUUGUUGAAGACAAGGGAAGGAAUGCUUGGAUUUGGGAUGUCUCCUUUAUAAUCCACAAGCUGCUGUCUUGAAUUGGUACUGGGAGUACCGAAGGAAGAAUACUACGGUGACAUCGCAUAAGAUGCUGCCUCUCUCUAGGUGAACUUGAAUUCUCUUCCCUCAUAUUUCUCUUCCCUUCAUCCCCCCUUUAAUCUAGACCGGUCAAAAGAAAUCCGAUAGCUUAAAAUUAUGUCGCAUAUUUAAUGACCCUUAUUUUUUUUAUUGUUUUUGUUCAACAAUCUUUUCUUUUAUGCACCACUCUUCACACCACCACUUACCCUCUUCCUCUUUCACACGCCAACAGCCAUUAAGAGAAAUCAUCCAAUCAAGCGAAUUUAUUUAAUCUCAACCAUUAAUAUUAGUCCGAUAAUUUGUGAAUUAAACCAAUUAGAUGUUCAAAAUCAAAGAGUUUAGAUCAUUCGAUAGAAAUAACUAACGCCCAACAUAGCAUAAGCAGAAUUUUUGUUGGAGCACUAGGCUAAUAGAAGAGUGGCUUGAAAGCCUUUCGGCGAUCUGGGGGUAUUUCUGUGAAGGGGUGGAGAUAGGAUUGAUCGGAGGUAUUUUCUACUAAUGACCUGUUUUUUCUUCAUUCUUUCUAACCAUUUUGAAUGUGCAACAAAAUUGUGAUUUCAUAAUAAAAAAAUUAUAAGUUGAUUGUAGAAGGGGAAAAGUUGGGUUUGAAUAAAAUUUCCUUAAGGUUGUCAUAACACAUAACAUAUCAUGUUCUAAAAGUUAAUAUGCGUGUCAUUUACUUACAUGUAAGAUCCUAUUAAAACAUGUCAUAUGCUUACAUAUACUUUGUCGUCCUAUUAACCAUA
rnacentral:lncRNA from 1 species